rnacentral:rRNA from 1 species
AGGACGAACGCUGGCGGCGUGCUUAACACAUGCAAGUCGAGCGGAAAGGCCCUUCGGGGUACUCGAGCGGCGAACGGGUGAGUAACACGUGAGCAACCUGCCCUUAGCUUCGGGAUAGCUCCGGGAAACCGGAAUUAAAUACCGGAUAUGACUAUGGCCGACAUCAGCCAUGGUGGAAAGUUUUUCGGCUAGGGAUGGACUCGCGGCCUAUCAGCUAGUUGGUGAGGUAACGGCUCACCAAGGCGACGACGGGUA